rnacentral:rRNA from 1 species
GAUGGACGCUAGCGGCAGGCCUAACACAUGCAAGUCGAGGGGCAGCACAUAAAGUGGUUUACUACUUUUGGUGGCGACCGGCGGACGGGUGCGUAACACGUAUGCAACCUGCCUCCAACAGGGGGAUAACGGAGAGAAAUUUCCGCUAAUACCCCAUAAUAUCAGAAUCGGCAUCGGUUUUGGUUGAAAACUCCGGUGGUUGGAGAUGGGCAUGCGUUGUAUUAGAUAGUUGGUGAGGUAACGGCUCACCAAGUCAACGAUACAUAGGGGGACUGAGAGGUUAGCCCCCCACACUGGUACUGAGACACGGACCAGACUCCUACGGGAGGCAGCAGUGAGGAAUAUUGGUCAAUGGGGGCAACCCUGAACCAGCCAUGCCGCGUGCAGGAAGACGGCUCUAUGAGUUGUAAACUGCUUUUACAAGGGGAUAAAUCGGUGUACGUGUACACCGUUGAAGGUACCUUGGGAAUAAGGAUCGGCUAACUCCGUGCCAGCCGCCGCCGUAA